UACAGAGGGGGCAAGCGUUGUUCGGACUUACUGGGCGUAAAGGGCGCGUAGGCGGCCUUCUAAGUCGAACGUGAAAUCCCCGGGCUCAACCCGGGAACUGCGUCCGAGACUGAAAGGCUCGAAUCCGGGAGAGGGAUGUGGAAUUCCAGGUGUAGCGGUGAAAUGCGUAGAUAUCAGGAGGAACACCGGUGGUGUAGACGGCUUUCUGGACCGUAACUGACGCUGAGACACGAAAGCGUGGGUAGCAAACAGG
rnacentral:rRNA from 1 species